rnacentral:rRNA from 1 species
GACAGAGGGUGCAAACGUUGUUCGGAAUUACUGGGCGUAAAGCGCGUGUAGGCGGUUAUGCAAGUCGGGUGUGAAAGCCCCGGGCUCAACCCGGGAAGUGCAUUCGAUACUGCGUAGCUAGAGUACCGGAGAGGGUGGUGGAACUCUGGGUGUAGAGGUGAAAUUCGUAGAUAUCCAGAAGAACACCGGUGGCGAAGGCGGCCACCUGGACGGAUACUGACGCUGAGACGCGAAAGCGUGGGGAGCAAACAGG